GUUAGAGCUCAGACUGUGGUUUGGAUCCUAAAGCUAAGCUGAAGGCUGGAAAUUGCAAAAAUUAGAAGAAAGCUAGAUGUAAUGAUAGGUGGUUAGCUCAUCCCAUGAAAGAUGUCUGCGCCUUAAAGCCGAGUUCUGAAAGAGCACAGUGUUCCUCUGGUUAUAUAUCCAGUGUGGUGCUGAAGUCAAAAGAUGUUCAGAAAAUCCAGAAGUGCCUUGAUGUGGAUUGAAGUUGUCACAUGACUCAGUGGGUCCUAACGGAAGAUCUGUUGAACUUACCCAAGCAGAUGCAAGCAACUUAGCAGGGCUUCCUCCAUGGGGGUGUUUUCUGUCAUCAGGUGCCCAGGGAAUGGCACAAGAAUUCCUCCAGGGCAAACUUUAUCUCUUUUGGUGCAAGAAGUAUUCAUCACCACCUGAAAAUGAGCAGGUUCUGAGACAUCCAGACGCUCUAGCCAGCUUCAGCUCUAUAACUGCACCCUGGUAUACGUGUUGUGUUGUGUUGGCAGUGUUGUAUUGGUGACCCGACUCCACUGGAGCAUGGAGCUGGCACAGGCUGUGUGCAAGGUAAGAAACCCAUGAAAUGUGUUCUUAUUACUCCAUUAAUUCAAGUGUCAGCACUUGUGGAAGCAUGCUAGUGAGAGGCCUUGCAGAUGUCCGCUCUGAUCAUGAGGUUGGUAAGUAAAUAAUUCUGUCAGACAAAUUCUGUACUUUUACUGGCUUUAAGAAAAAACAGUGCACUUUGAGAUAUGUAUUUCUUCCCAUUAAUAAAAGCAGACAGAUACCUGUAGGGAGCUUGACUCUCUGAAGGCUUCUUUAUUUAAAGGAAUUGCUUUCUGUCCCCUCUUUACAGUUCAGUCCCCCCUCUGUACAGUUAGCAGUACAUAACUUCUGCACUGAUUAUUCUAAAAAAAUGUUUGGAACAGAAAAUAUGACAAAUAGAAAAAGGUGACGAUGUCUGUAUAUACGAAGGAACUGGGACAAAUGAUAGUGACAUGUAUGUUUAUGUAUUCAUUCAGCGAUUGUGUUUCCUGAUUUCCUGUAGUAGUUGCAUAUAAUAUUGCUUCUUCACACUGUCUUGUUUGCUUAUAGUUUUGGUACCAGCCUCCCACCUCUGCUGGUUGAGGAAAUCAACACGUUUCUGUUGCUGCUAACUCAUUUAGUUUUGCAGUGUUGUCAGAGCAUGUCAUGUGAUGAGGAGGAGCGUUAGCUAGUCUUAGUAAAGCUGAAGUGCAUGUUGAAAGUAUGUACUUAGUAGCCCUAGAGACUGUCUAAAUGUUAAAUUCUUGUGUAUUUAAACUCUGUGUGAUAAGUGAUGUGCUAUUUUGCUUUGCUUUUUUUGAAACUCCAAAGGUUACAACUAGGAUAAGCUAAUGUCCACUCCUUGAAGUAUGCUGUGUUUGGUGAGGAGAAGACUUGGACUCUCAACCCACCUCACUUUGGACAGUGAGGUGGGUUGAGAACUGGCUGACUGGCAGAGCGUAGAGGGUCGUCGUUGGUGGUGCAGAGUCUGGCUGGAGACCUGUAACCAGUGGUGUCCCCCAGGGGUCUGUGCUGGGUCUGGUUCUUGUUCAACAUCUUCAUCAGUGACCUUGAUGAGGGGAUAGUGGCCACCCUCAGCAAGUUUGCUGAUGAUACGAAGUUGGGAGGAUUGGCUGACACGCCUGAAGGCUGUGCUGCCAUUCAGCGAGACCUGGACAAGCUGGAGAGCUGGGCAGUAG
ensembl:lncRNA